CCUACGGGUGGCAGCAGUCGAGAAUCAUUCACAAUGGGGGAAACCCUGAUGGGGCGACGCCGCGUGGGGGAAUGAAGGUCUGCGGAUUGUAAACCCCUGUCAUGUGGGAGCAAAUUAAAAAGAUAGUACCACAAGAGGAAGAGACGGCUAACUCUGUGCCAGCAGCCGCGGUAAUACAGAGGUCUCAAGCGUUGUUCGGAAUCACUGGGCGUAAAGCGUGCGUAGGCUGUUUCGUAAGUUGUGUGUGAAAGGCGCGGGCUCAACCCGCGGACGGCACAUGAUACUGCGAGACUAGAGUAAUGGAGGGGGAACCGGAAUUCUCGGUGUAGCAGUGAAAUGCGUAGAUAUCGAGAGGAACACUCGUGGCGAAGGCGGGUUCCUGGACAUUAACUGACGCUGAGGCACGAAGGCCAGGGGAGCGAAAAGGAUUAGAUACCCCAGUAGUC
rnacentral:rRNA from 1 species